UUUUCCGCAAUGGGCGAAAGCCUGACGGAGCAAUGCCGCGUGGAGGUGGAAGGCCUACGGGUCGUCAACUUCUUUUCUCGGAGAAGAAACAAUGACGGUAUCUGAGGACUAAGCAUCGGCUAACUCUGUGCCUGAAGCCGCGGUAAGACAGAGGAUGGAAGCGUUAUCCGGAAUGAUUGUGCGUAAAGCGUCUGUAAGUGGCUUUUUAAGUUCGCCGUCAAAUCCCAGGGCUCAACCCUGGACAGGCGGUGGAAACUACCAAGCUGGAGUGCGGUAGGGGCAGAGGGAAUUUCCGGUGGAGCGGUGAAAUGCGUAGAGAUCGGAAAGAACACCAACGGCGAAAGCACUCUGCUGGGCCGACACUGACACUGAGAGACGAAAGCUAGGGGAGCGAAUGG
rnacentral:rRNA from 1 species